CGCGGGGUGGAGCAGUCUGGUAGCUCGUCGGGCUCAUAACCCGAAGGUCGCGGGUUCAAAUCCCGCCCCCGCUAC
rnacentral:tRNA from 2 species